UUCUUCUUCUUCUUCUUCUUCGUUAGUUGUCUUGUGUAGUAAUCUCCAUUUUGGGUUUUGGUGAUGGGUGAUUGGUUUUUAUGAGUUUAGAGUUUUUUUUAUUCUUCCUAACAACGUAUCAGUUCGCUUGGUGUUUCUCAGUUACCUUCAUCAUCCAGAAAUCUCCAAGUCUGUUUGUGCAAUAGCUCGCAGAGUCGCAGAUCAUAUUUAAUUGGUUUUCAUCUUACAUCGUUUACAUAUAACGUAAUACGUUUGAUUCUGUCAAUUGGGUUCUGUUGGGUUUGUGUUGGGUUAUGUGGUUUUAGUUCUGAGUUUGCGCAUCUCUUCUUCUUCUUCUUUUUAAUCUCUUUGUAUUCAUGGAGGUUUGUUUGACUAAUUGACUCCGAUUGUUUCCGGAAUAGAUUUUUCCUUAAUAUUUUUUUUAUUAUGUGGUUGUUUAAUUUAUCUGUGUUGGGGAUUUGAGUGGUAAGUUCGUCAGUUAUUUAUUAAACUUUCUGUUUUAUUUGAUCUGAAUCGUUAGUUAGUCGGAAUGUUGAUGCAGCUUUGUGGAGAAUCUGGGCAUAACUCUUGAAGAAUCUGGGAAUUGAUGGAGAAGAAUGUAGUAUUUAAACAAAUUGAUUAAGGAUUAAAUGCAGAAUGGUGAGGGUCUCCAUGGUAACAAUUCAGAGGAAGUUGAGGCCAAUUUAGUACGUGUUCAAUCUUUCAAAUAGAUUUUUGAAUACAUUCACAAAUUAUGCUGGAACAUGUCAUGGGGCAGAAGGGUUAGCUGCAUAUAGUUGAGGGUCAGUUUCACUGCAGAGAUUCUGAGUUCAAGUCCUUAAAACAAAAAAAAUGAAGUUUCUGUUUUUCAGAGGACUGAAGAAAAUGUGAGAUCAUUUUGAGGGAAGGUAUUCUGAAUGUGAUACUUUGAUAAUUGAUGAUCAACUUUACCAGACCCUAACAAAUCUUGGUAAUAUAAUAAACACUUACAGAUUCUUUCAUUAUUUGUGUAAUUUACAGUUCUGCAUGUAGUCUCGAUAUUUUUCUUUUGGAAAUAGCAAUUUGUUCUUUUCUUCUCUAAUCUUUGUAAUGUAUUUUGCAGAAUUCCAAAUGUUCUUUGCAAAAUAAUCACUAUUACAGUGCUACUAGCUGAGAUCAGUUCUAAUCCUUGCAUUAUGUCGUCUCUUCUUCUAAGCACCCUAAACCAAUUAACUUAAUUCUCAAUGUCAAUCUUACUCUUUCUAAGCCAAACACACUUCAUUUUCCUGCCUAUCUUUGCUUUCUAUUGUUUCAGUGCGCAAAGAUUAAUGUGUUUUUUUGUAUUUUUUAUUGCUAUUAGUUUGUGCAAUUAAAACCAUAUUUUUGUUACUACAAUUUUUGAGUGAUUGUACCUAUGAGUUUUUUCUCUCAGGGAAACCAUAAGUCAAGGAUACUACUGUUUGUCAAAUAGAGAAUUCUUCUCCAAAAUUUUAGACUCUGAUCUUGGUUUUUGAGGUGAAGUUUCAGUCUUUCAACUCCAUUGUUGCUUUACAGUGUUCUUUUUUAAGUGAAAGUAUUAUACUGGUAAUUGUGUCUUUUUGUUUCGUAGAUGUGAUCUUAGAGCUCACUUACACUUAGUAUACCAUAAGUGGAAGGAAAAAGAACUUACAUUGGAUAUUAAACAUUUUUACUAAAAAUUUGGUAUUUUUUUGGGUAAAUCUGAAAUUAAACUUCUAUACUGUUUUCAUUCACUUAUUUUUCAAGGAUCUGAGGUGGACUGAGCUCUAUGUAGGCUUCUGUUUCUUUAUUUUUGUCAAUUUUAGUACAUACAGAUUUGGAUGGUUCAAAUGUUUAGAUUCAGAGGUUGUUGCUGCUCUUUAUCUCUUUGUAUUUCAGGUUUUUAUGGCUUCCCCCUUCUUUUCAAGUUGUAGGGGUGAAUGUAAUUUUGGGGUUCCAGAGUAAAGAGCUGAUAAUCUUGAGUUUGGCCAUGACUGUACCAUCCAUGGAUUGCCAGCUCAGGUAUGUUCAUUUUGUAAUUCCUAUCAACAUGAGGAAUGGGGCUCGAUAACGCUGUAUUUAUAGUGGUGGUGUGAUACAGCCAACUUAUCAUGUUGGUAAGAAGCAUACAGUAUAAAGAGAAACAAAGGGAAGGGUAUUCGAAGAAGCAUGUGAACAAGGGAAUACAGAUAAUUACAGCAGUGUAUCAUCAAACAGGUGAUUAUGAGAGCAUAUCAGAAGCAAGUGGGGGUCAAAUCUGGUUUGAAUCCAGAAUAAAAUUCGCAAGAAUAAAUGCCAAAACCUCAAUCAAGAUAGUAUUCUUAUUCCUGUAUUAUUGCAAACAAAAUUCUCUAUUAGAUGUAGUAUUUUGUUACCGGAAUAAGUACUUAUGCUUAUGUAAUCUCAUGACGUAUAAACUACAAAAUU